rnacentral:misc_RNA from 1 species
AAAACCCUCAAGCACAGCUUGGUGUUGGGCGUCUUGUCCCGCCUCCGGCGCGGACUCGCCUCAAAAGCAUUGGCGGCCUGUGUAUUGGCUUCGAGCGCAGCAGACUAGCGCCUCGUCCCCUCUGCCACGGGCGUCCAUCAAGAACGCAACCCAAU